UUUUCUGUUGUUUUAUCUUUUAUCUUCAGAAUUCCUAUUUUGUGUUUAUUGGGGAUUUUUUUGAUUCAUUGAUUUUUCUAGUAUUGGUCUCACACCCAAUUCAUUGAUGUCUUUUUUCUCUCAAUUAUUUGAGUGCUUAGUAUACAAAAAAAUGUUCCCUAAUGAUUAUUCUGACUGCGUCCCAGAAAUUUUUAUGGCUCUGGAGUGGUAGACUUUAUUCAAAUGGAACAAAAUAUUUUUAAAAUGCAAACUCAUCUGAGAAAAUUAAGUAAUGUGUGGAGAGAGAGACACAGUAUAAAACAUUAGGAACAGGAGCAACAUUGUUUCCAGAGAUUAUAUAUAUGUAUAUAAAACAAAUAACCUAAGCAGUAGGAGGAAUUAAACAAAGAAUUUGAGAAAUAGAUUGUAAACUUAGCAUAAUAGUAUACAAUGUUAACUUCAAUUAUUCAUGCCUUUGUUUUUGACAAAAAGCAUGAUAUAUGAUACAUUUGUGACUCUUCUUCAUGAUAAUUUCAUGACAAGGGUACUGAAAUUCUAGAUUUGAUCUUCACCAGGACAAAGGAAAUCAUUGCUGAAGUAGCAAUGAUAAGAAUCUUGAGGGCAAGUGCUCACACCAUGAUAAAGUUUUAUGAUAUAAGAGAGGAUAAGUGGACAUAGUUUGAUGUGUAGCCUAGACUUGGGAAGAAAGAAUGUUAAGGGGAUCAGGGAAAGUCCAAGUAGGCUAAUGCUUGGGCAGUAUAUGCGUCAUGAUGGCAAGCUUUCAACAAUUAAAUUUUUAUGACUCAAAGAGAAAUUCUCUUGUUAAGAAGGAAAAGUCGAGAUGAUUAAAGUAACUCAUAAGGAUGCACAAUGACUAACUUAAAUUUUAAAUGACAUGUGUAGAAGAUUAGAGGCAAUGAGGAAUGUAAAAAGGUAAGAAGAAUGACUUUAUCCUAUGGUUUUUCUGUUAACAGAAUGUGCUUAUCCCUUGCUGGAAAUGAGACAUUUGCAACAUUCCAAUUGCAAAUUAGACCAUGUAGGAGAUACCUAAUAUGGCUUGACUUUUGUCUAAAUUUCUUCCAGAUUCAGAUGAAGUGAAAGAAAACCAUACUUACAUCCUGAUGUGAUCCUUCUGAAUUCUGUGCUGCUUUAUCAUGAUGUUGCAGAAUCAGUUUAGAAAUAUAAACGUGCAGGUGCUGAUUUUCUGAUCUUCUGCCUCUGUGUCCUCUCGAGAGUCAUUGGGCAGGUUUUCCUAAUCUCUAGACUGCUCCUGCCACCCUAUGUAAGUAAAAGCUUGAUCCUUAAAUCAACCAUUGAAUAAAAAUUCCAAGAUUUUUGUUCCUGACUGAUCCCUAGGAAGAAGGAAAGGUGGUUAGUGAAAAUGUCUUAGCCUCUGGUCUAUAAUCUGGGUCCCCUUAGGACAUAAUAAAUAAGGAAAUAAAUGAGGAUUUCUAUCAAACUCUUGUGUGACUGACAAGUUAUCAAAUUGUUCAUCAGAAGAAUCUCUAACAGCAACAUCCGCUUAAAAAUUCAGGGUUCAUACAUUAGAUUUAGGAUAGUCUCAGUAUAAGAAGAAGAAAAUAAGCUGGAGAUUUAAGUAUAUAAAAAUAGUAUUUAUUAAUAUUAUUUAUUUUUUCUAACAUAUGCAAACAAUUUUUUGCUUUGUUUUUUAUCUUAUUUUAUUUUUCCAAUCACAAGUGAAAAUAAUUUUUAUCUUCAUUUUUUAUAAUUUUUAGUUCCAAUUUCUCUCCCACCAUCCCUUUCCUCCCCUCACCCUCAUUGAAAAGGCAAGCAUUUUGAUAAAGGUUAUAAAUGUGCAAUCAUGCAAAACUCAUUUUCUUAUUAGUCAUUAAAUAUUUUUAGCAUGUAUUUUUUUAAAUUGAAUUAAAUUUUCUCCCUUUUCUUCCCUUUCAUUGAGAAGGCAAGCAAUUUGAUGUAAAUUAUACAUUUAUCAUCAUACUAAACAUUUCUGUAUUGGCUAUGUUGCCAAAAAACAGACAAAAAAAGAAUAAUAAAGUAGAAAAGAAGUAUGCUUCAGUUUGCAUUCAUAUGUCAUCAGUUCUUUCUCUGGAGGUGAAUAGUAUUUUUCAUCAUAAGUCCUUUGGAAUUGUCUUGGUUCAAAGGAUUUUUUUUCACAACUUUCACAAGUUCUUUCACAAGAAGAAAUCAAAGCUAUCAAUAGUUAUAUAAAAUUAUAUACAAUAUAACAAAAAGUUAUACAAAAAUGUGCUAAAUUAAUACUGUUUAAAGAAAUCCAAGUUAAAAUAACUCUGAGAUACUAGUUCACAAGUGGGGAUACUGGGGAGGAUAUAAAAAAAAAUUGAGAUAGGAAUUCUCACAUUCUUAAUUUUUAAAUUUUAACUUACUAUUUGAAAGUUUAUCAUUAUUAGUUUAUUAUCUUAAAGUUUCUUACGUAUAUUCUAAAUUAAUUUGAAGCUAGUUUGUCCAGAUCUUUAAAAUGACAUACAUAUUGAAUUUAUUUCAGUUUGUUUUUUUUUGUUUUUUUAAAAUAAUUUUUUAUUGACAGAACCCAUGCCAAGAUAAUUUUUUAUAGCAUUAUCCCUUGCACUCACUUCUGUUCCGAUUUUCCCCCUCCCUCCCUCCACCCCCUCCCCCAGAUGGCAAGCAGUCCUUUACAUGUUAAAUAGGUUACAGUAUAUCCUAGAUAUAAUAUAUGUGUGCAGAACCGAACAGUUUUCUUGUUGCACAGGGAGAAUUGGAUUCAGAAGGUAAUAAUAACCUGGGAAGAAAAACAAAAAUGUAAGCAGUUUAUAUUCAUUUCCCAGUGUUCUUUUUUUGGAUGUAGCUGCUUCUGUCCAUCUUUGAUCAAUUGAAACUGAAUUGGCUCUCUUUAUCGAAGAGAUCCACUUUCAUCAGAAUACAUCCUCAAACAGUAUCAUUGUUGAGGUAUAUAAUGAUCUCCUGGUUCUGCUCAUUUCACUUAGUAUCAGUUCAUGUAAGUCUCGCCAGUUCUCUCUAUAUUCAUCCUGCUGGUCAUUCCUUACAGAACAAUAAUAUUCCAUAAUGUUCAUAUACCACAAUUUACUCAACCAUUCUCCAAUGGAUGGGCAUCCAUUCAGUUUCCAGCUUCUAGCCACUACAAACAGGGCUGCCACAAACAUUUUGGCACAUACGGGUCCUUUUCCCUUCUUUAGUAUCUCUUUGGGGUAUAAGUCCAGUAGAAACACUGCUGGAUCAAAGGCUAUGCAUAGUUUGAUAACUUUUUGAGCAUAGUUCCAAACUGCUCUCCAGAAUGGCUGGAUGUGUUCACAAUUCCACCAACAAUGUAUCUGUGUCCCAGUUUUCCCACAUCCCCUCCAACAUUCCGCAUUAUCUUUCCCUGUCAUUCUAGCCAAUCUGACAGGUGUGUAGUGGUAUCUCAGAGUUGUCUUAAUUUGCAUUUCUCUGAUUAAUAAUUAUUUGGAGCAUAUCUUCAUAUGUCUAUAAAUAGUUUUAAUUUUGUCAUCUGAGAAUUGUCUGUUUAUAUCCUUUGACCAUUUAUCAAUUGAAGAAUGGCUUGAUUUCUUAUAAAUUAGAGUCAAUUCUCUAUAUAUUUUGGAAAUGAGGCCUUUAUCAGAACCUUUGACUGUAAAAAUGUUUUCCCAGUUUAUUGUUUCCCUUCUAAUCUUGACUGAAUUUGUUUUGUUUGUACAAAAACUUUUCAAUUUGAUAUAAUCAAAAUUUUCUAUUUUGUGGUCAAUAGUGAUCUCUUGUUCUUCUUUGGUCAUAAAUUCCUCCCUCUUCCACAGGUCUGACAGGUCCUAUGCUCUUCCAAUUUAUUUAUAAUCUCAUUCUUUAUGCCUAGGUCAUGAACCCAUUUUGACCUUAUCUUGGUGUACGGUGUUAAAUGUGGGUCAAUGCCUAGUUUCUGCCAUACUAAUUUCCAAUUUUCCCAGAAAUUUUUGUCAAAUAAUGCAUUCUUAUCCCAAAUUGGUUCAAAGGAUUACUGAGAAUAGCCAAGUUUUUCAUAUUAGAUCAUUGUACAAUGUUGCUUUUAUUAUGUACAAUAUUCUUCUGGUUCUGCUAAUUUCUGGGAUAGGUUAAGUCCAGGUUAUUCUGAAAGCAUCCUGCUUGUCACUUCUUAGUGCAUCAUAGUAUUCUAUCACAAUCAUAUACUACAACUUGUGGUCUAUGAAAUAAAUAUUAUAUUUGUUCUUGUUUUCUUGGUAUUGAGCUCUUUUUUAUGUCUUCUUUUGCAACAUGGUUAAUAAAGAAAUGUUUUGCAUGAAGAAAAAUAACAAAGUAUUAGAAAUCAGUUUGUCCAGUUAACAGGCCAACAAAAUCAAUAAAUUAAAUGGAUGACUAUCUACCAUAAAAAUCCAAAUUAACAAAAUAAUCAUAGAAAAAUUAAGCAAGUCAUAAAAGGACCCUCAAAUUAAAAAAACACCAAGACAGAUAGAUUUGCAAAUGAAUCUUUAUUAAAAAAAUCCAAAGAGCAAUUAAUUAUAAUAUGACAUAAAUUAUUUACAAAAACAUAGAAAUUAGGAUUUUUACCAAACUCCUAGGUUACAAAUAUGGUUCCCUUGCCUAGACCAGGACAAGAUAAAACAAAGAAAGAAAAUCAUACGUUGAUAAUUAAUUCCUAAUGAAUAUUUGUGCAAAACCACAACAUAUUUAGAAGAUUCUGUGCUAUGACCAAACACCUGAGCCUAGAAGUAGACAAAGUAUUGACCAAGAAAUUCAGCAUCCAGAAGACAAAUGUAGAAAUUAAAAGGAGGAUCUAUGGAAAAGAUGUCUACCUUGUACAUAGUGUGGUGAUGAUCUGAUAGAAUUUUUGAGAUAGAGAGAUAUCUUAAUGAUAACAUAUAUUGAAUCACCUAUUCUGAAGUAGAUAAGAGAGAAAAAGUGCCAAGUGGAAAACCACUAUUAUCAUAUCAACUUAUGUUAGUAGAGUUAAAAAGAAUUAUUUCAAUUGCAAAUCCUUUAUAAAAGGUAAUUGAUGUUAAAUGGUUAUUUGGAACUGGGGUGCUAGUCACAGGCAUCUAAUAAUUGAGGUAAUAAUUGAGGGACCAGUGGGGGUUUAAAACAAUGGCAUUAAAGAUUAGAUGCUCCACAUCUCUCAGAACCCUGAAGGGCAGUUGCAGAUAGCCAGGCUCUGGGAGAGUGAACUAGAGUCUACCCAUUAUGUGUGUGGGCUCAUCCAUGAUAAAAUUAGAGUCUCCAAAUUUGUAGAAUUUCCACCUGAGAUUUGUUUUGAGAUACUAUAGUUUACAAGAUCCUAGGUAGUCCCUCCCAAAAAAAUUCUUUAUUUGAGGCAUCUUUUGCUGUGUUUCCUUUACAAAUCAGUUUCAUUUGAGAAGGCUUUUAUAAAUGCUUACAUUUGUUGAUUCAUUGGAUAUUUAGUAUUGUCUUGCUGUAUUACUGAAUCCUUGAUAAGUUUUAAUAUUAAGACUAAUUUAAGAAGUAUGGAAUUUGUGUCACUAAAACGUUAAUGCCUCAUUGAGAAAUGUUCACUUUUUUCCCUUUUGCAUUAAAUAGACCCAGAAUCCUUGCCUCACUAUGAAGUUCUUAUUCCUUGAAAGAUCAUAGGGUCAGGUUUGCCUUUGUGUUUAGUAACCACAAGUAAGCAAUUCUUCAUGUUUAGUACAGGAAGAAAUGUUGUACUUUUAUAUGUGCAGACUUGUUGCUUAUUUAUUUAAAAAAUAAAAAAAAUUUAAAAUAAAAAAUAAAAAAAUACAACUUGAGCAGAGUAGGUUAUACCAUUGAAACUAUGGAUGGGGAGAGAGUCCUUGACCCAUUUCGGAAAAGGGGAAUCCCUAGAGAUAAAAUGAACAAUUUUAUAACAUCCAAAACUUUUUACACCAGAAGAAAUUAAUGAGAUUAGAAUUAAAAAGAAAAGAUCUAUGGAAAAUCUUUGCAGCAGAUUUUUCUUAUCUAAGAGAUGUAGAGUGCUGAUUCAAAUAUACCAAAAUAAGAACCAUUACUCAUCAGAUAAAUGGCCAAAGAAUACAAAACAGGUAGUUUUCAAAAUAAGAAUGCAGGCUAUGAACAGGAAUAUUUUAAAAUAAUCCAAAUCAUUGAUUCAGAGAAAUACAAAUUAAACGAUCCUGAGCUUUCCCUUCAAACUUAUCACAUUAACAGAGUUGACACCCCCCAAAAAAGGGGAAAUAGCAAUUGCAGGAGCUUUGGGGGAGGAGGCACAUUAACAUACUGCUAGUGGGCUUAAAUUAUUCCAACCCUUCUAAAGUGACAUUUGAAAGUAUAGCCUAAAAGUCACUAAAAGACUUGUCUGCUUUUACCAACCCAUACAACAAGUAAGCCCUAAAAGGGCCUAAAACUAUCAGACAGAAGAAGAAUACCCAUAUUUAUACACAAAUGGCUAAUAAUAGCCCUUAUUAUUAUAGCAAAAAAAAACUGAGGAAAAAAGUAUGUCUAUCAAUUGUGAAACAGCUAAACAAAUUAUGAUAUAUUAAUAUAAAGAAUAUAAUAGUGCUAUAAGAAAUAACAAAAGUGAUGGCUUCAGAGAAACCUGAAGAGAUUUGCAUAAACUGAUACAGAGUGAAACAAUCAGAAACCAGAGAACAGUGUAUAAAAUAAUUAAAACAUAAUAACAAUAAACAACUUUUAACCCCAUAAAAAUUUGGUUGAUGCAAUGCCAAAUCACAAUUCCAGAAAAUUUAUGAUGGAUUAAGAUUCCCACCUCUUCACAGAGAGUUAAUGAACUAGAGGUAAAGAAUGGAAUAUACAUUUUAAGAUGCAACCAAUAAGGAAGUUUUUUGUUUGACUAUACUUAUCUGUUACAAAAAGGGGGUUUCAACUUUUAUUUGGUAGAGGGAGACUAAUAGUUGGAAUAGCAACAUGGAAGAAGGAAGGAAACAAGGAAAGAAGGAAGCAAAGAAGGAAGGUGAAAAGAAACAAAAAAGGAAGUAAAGAAGCUUUUUAAAUACUCCAUUUUUUUCUGAACAUUGUUAAAAUUGUCAUCAGUAUGUACAUGAUAUUUUAAGUUGUGCUUUUUUCACUUCUUAUUUCUUAUAUGCAUGUACAUAUAUCAUCUGGUGCACAUACUUUGGCACUCUUAAUAGUUAAAUCAUAUAAUAUAUCAUUAUGUACUUAGCUGAUCUCUUACUUGUAGGCAUUUGAUUUAUUGCCAAUUUUUCAUUAUUAAAUACUGCCGCUGUGAACAUCUUUA